rnacentral:sRNA from 1 species
UCUCCGUCAAUGUCGUU